CAAGCAGCUUGUUUAUAGUUUGACUGACUCACCAUCACUUCCGGAGGUGCAAUGUGGUAUUACAAGACUACCUAAUUUCCUCCCCUCGAUUGAGAUUUGGACAUGCUAAACGAUUGGUCGCCACCCCGAUCUUGUGGCUGUCACCCGAUGCCGCACACAGCAGACGCUUGAUGAGGUUUUAAUAAUUUAUCGACAUUACGCUGCACGCCAUCAUUUAUGUAUGUGACGCUCAAUAUAUAUAUUUUUUUUAAUCACGCCUUGGCCACCUGGGGGCAGAGUUGUACAUUUAUGCAGGUAGACUUUCAGAUAGAGUUGAUGUCAACUCCCCAGCAGUAUGGUCUAGCAGCUAGCUUCACAGAGGAUAAAGAAUACAUGCCUAAUAAGCCGAGUGAUGGAGGAAAAGUGCCCACCUUGUCCAGGCAGCUGACUUUCUCUGUGGGGUAAACAACCUUCCCGCAGCGGGCACACUGGGGGUUCAUCCUCGCGAUUCGGGUGGGUGUCCAAUGUUGGGGUCCUGAGGCUGAUGAAGUCGCCACAGAGGACGCUGGAGCAGAGGCUCCGGAGUGGAAGCUGCUCGGCAGAUUUGUGCUGGACCAAGUGAACAACUCGUGGAGCACAAGAGCAGUCCCGACAGUGAGCGCCGCAGAGUGCGACAAGCUCGCAGCACUUCACAGCCACCGGAAACGCGAGAACGGCUUCCUCCCGACCCGCUUCCUUGAAAGUAAAAAAAGAGAGGCUUUUUUUUUAAUUUCCUUCUUCCAAUUGAUGGCGUCCAAACAACUCACAACGCAGCAGUUCGCAAUCAAUAUUGUAAA